rnacentral:rRNA from 1 species
CCUACGGGAGGCAGCAGUAGGGAAUCUUCCACAAUGGACGAAAGUCUGAUGGAGCAACGCCGCGUGAGUGAAGAAGGGUUUCGGCUCGUAAAACUCUGUUGUUAAAGAAGAACAUAUCUGAGAGUAACUGUUCAGGUAUUGACGGUAUUUAACCAGAAAGCCACGGCUAACUACGUGCCAGCAGCCGCGG